CAUUACAAAAAAAAUCUGCAACUUCAUUUUCUUCCCCUAUCUGGAAACCAUAGAAACCAAUGUGAAAUUAUAGCUAAGAAGUUCGUCACUGGGCUAUCUCAAGCUGAUCUCCAUGGAAACAUUUCACAUUUUCCUGCAAUGAAAGAUCUUCCAAUCAGACACAAAACCAUAACUGAUGGGUGUCUGACAAAUAUAACAGCAACAGCAACAACAAAGAAGUAUGUGGAUAUUUUAUUAGAUAGCACAUGCAGGAGAGUUUUAAAACUACUUCACAAAUGAGACAUUUAAAUGCUCCAGUAUGCCUUUGAAUCUGACUUUGAUCCCAACAUAGUAUGGUGAAAAUUUUCCACGUGAAUAAUAAUUCUCAUAAGUAAAUUUUAAAGGAAACAAAAUUCUCCAUUUUAUGUCUCACCGACCCCACAUCACCCAGAAGCCCAGCUAGAUGAAACAACUUGUGCAAAGGCAUUGAGGUAAGAAAGACACUAGGCCAUGUGAAGAAAAUAUGCAACUUUGGGGGGUUUAUGGUCCACCAUCUAAGGAGGUUGGAAGUCAUCACUCUGUCCUGAAAACAAGUAAAGAGCUGAACAAACUGAAAAUCCACAACUCUUCUUAAAACCUUCAGGAGAAGGUUUUGGGGAGACACACAGGCCAACACAGAGAAUCACAAUUGACUGGAG
rnacentral:lncRNA from 1 species